rnacentral:tRNA from 4 species
GGAGAGGUGGCCGAGUGGUCGAAGGCGCUCCCCUGCUAAGGGAGUGUGCGCCAAAAGCGUACCGUGGGUUCGAAUCCCAUCCUCUCCGCCA